UACUUCCGGUGUGGCGUAAUGACGUCAGAGGCGACGUUAGGCUCUCUCAGAGGAGGCCGGGGCUGGGCUGUGAUCUCUGCCCAGCCCCGUCCGCCGGUCCCCGGGAGCACAAGCACCAUUCCGAAACGCGACGUUUGGUUACAAAACACGUAUCAAAACCGUUUUUAUUUCACAGCAUCUUAAACGCACAAAUUCACGGGGGGAAAAAACUAAAAGUACAUGGAACGGUCUAACCCAGAUUCUUAAAUAACACAGUAAGCCAAAAACCGUGACAGUGUAUAUGUAUACAUAUAUAUAUAUUUUACACAAGAACGUAUAGCCUCUUGUCGAGAAUCGCCUGUGCUGAGCCAGAGCAGCACCGCACUCACAGGUGCACAGCAUUCAGCCACAGCUGCCCCAGGAGGAGUGCUCUGCAGCCCGAUGAAGCUGAUUAGGGUUUGGGUCCCGCUUUAUUAAUAGGUAAUGCAGUAAUAGUCCUUUGCCACACGGUGGCAGCUUUUAGGUGAAGUGAUAAAUAUUGCCACAUAGGAAGAACUGAACGGGGCUGGAAGCCACACACUGGCAACAGAGUAAUAAACACAUAUACACGGCUACUGUAUUGCUCCAGGACUGAUCCUGCAGAGACAACACAAAAGAGAGACUGGAAAGUCCUUCUGUGUUAAAGAGAAGCCAGAAGCAUAUUAAGUUUACACAGACAACUUGAAGCUACGUACAGCUGAACACAGUUACAAAGGAUUCAAUAGUCAGUGUAGUUAUUCCAUACGAAAAAUACAAUUUGAGCCCUACAUAAAGAGGAAGGGGGUCCAAUACAGUUUGCUGCAACUCUAAUGAAGCAAAAUUAGCUGCAGGCAAAACAUGGCUGAAGAAUAAAGAUUCAGCUUUGUUUCUGCCUACAACAUCUAAUACAAGGAACAGAAAUUUACAUUACUUUACAUAUUAGAUAGCAGGUACCCAUACCUCAGUACAAGGUUUAGCAUCUCCAUUUAGAAGUCAAACAAAUUACAAAUUUCUCAGUCAUUAUAGCCAAGCAUCAGAUUUGCUUCUUGCAAAUGGACACAGCUACCUGUAUCAUAAUAUUGCUUCAGAAAAUAAAACCAAGAGCCAAUAUCACAGAAGGUUCCACAUGUAAUCAGAGCUCAUUCCCAACCUGGAUACUUUAAGAACAAAUGAAAAAAUAGUCAAUGGCCACAGAACUUAACAACCUCUGUGUAAGCAGUGGGGUGCUGCCUGGCGCCAGCUGGUAAGUGGCUGUUCAGGUGUGCAACAAAUGCUAGUAUUAUGAGGACUGUCACAGUGAUGCAAUGCUUGGAAGAACAGAGUAAGAAAAGUAGCAUUUUCAAUAUCAAGCAUGCUUUGUGUCAUUGGCUUGGUUUGGCAGAAAUAGCUUUACUGACUUAAGUACUUGCUCAGAGCAUGUAAGACCAUAUAUAAUACAGUCCCACUGAAAAAGGUGCUUAGUUCAGACUACAGAACACAGAAACAAAUCAAUAUAAGAAAUUAUAUAUUUUAGACCAAGUUGCUCUUGGUCAAAAGCACUCAUCUUUCAUUUAAGAGUGAAUUGGGCUGGUAAUCACUUUGCUGCAGCUACCUUGUCCAACUGGUGGUAUUUCAUGACAGACUUCAAAACAAUCUUUAAAUAAAAUUUAUGUUCUUCAGGUAUUAUAGUUAACUAAAUUGAAACAGCAAUUUCAGUCUAGUUAUAGAUAGUGUAGGACAGAUGCCCUGGGUAUCACUAGUGCAGAUAUACUGGAAUCAUUUUCCUUAUACACAAGGCCAAUGCAGGUAAAGAAUAAAUGGCUAUAUAAAUUCAGGAUUCUCUACUAAAUAACAUAACUAACUUAAAAAGUACUGGUACCGGACCAGCCAGUUUUAGGCACGUCUUUAAAAAAAUAAAGUAUGUGUUCCAUUAAUGUAAAAAUGCAAGAAGACUCUUAGAAACAUCUGGACUUAAUGGUGCACUGGAAUGGAAGUGAUGCUUCCUUUAGUUUCAAGGAAUAAAAAUAAAAGCUUAAAAAAAAAAAAAAGAAACAAUACCAUAGGAUUCUUCAUAAGGGAGAACAGUUUUAGUAAAACUGAGAAGAUAAAUAAGGAAUAAUCAGCAGCCAUGACAGCUGCCUGGUGAAUAUUUGUGCUUUAAAUGUCCAAAACAAAAUGAAGUUCAACAACUCUUCUCGUACCAUCUCCCAGACUUCUCAUGCGUGUCCGUAAUGCAAACCUUGACAGGUUGAAAACACACUGCAGACUUUAGAACUAGAGCUGGCAGGAUGCUCCCAGGGCACGAAGGCCAAUGGCAAUGUCAGCAGCAGAGCUCAGCGAUGCUAUCCCCAGCGCCGCCAGCCACCAGCUGGAGUGUAGCUUUGGUUAAGACUGUUGUGUGAGCCGUCUGUAGUGAGGUAACACUUGGUUUUCAGGAAGAUAGAGAGCCAGUUCCAAAGCUACAAGGACAGUGAAUUCAAAACCAAUAAGAUCUCUUCUGUUGAAUCUGAAUCUCUCUUCUAGUUUCUAUGAUAGUAAUAAAUAAAAAGAAAAAAAAAAAAAAGAGCAGAGGGGGAGAAACAGAAUCAGUUAUCCGGAAUUUAUCAAUGCACUUUUGGAUUAAGUCAACAUAAUAGAGGAAUGAGCAAUGCAAGGCCAGAGAGAAGUAUUGCCACAGAUCAAACAUGUAGAUCAGCACAGCUGUCACACCCACACAGCAGUUACUGUUUUCCAGGCAACCACUACACAAAAAUAACCUCACUGUAGGAUCAGUAGGACAUUAUACUGCAUCAGUCAGGAGCUUUUCAUAAACUAGAAAAAGCAUCCAAAAGGAAGAGCCCUGGAUGAAGCUUGAAACUAACUGAAAGAGAUAGUCUUGAAUGCAGCACGCACUGCUGAAGAUGUUUUUCUCAUCUUUGCUUUGUUCUAUGAAAAAGGAAGGUUUUGACCACACCCAAAACAUGCCUCACGGUACUUACAUCUAUAAGAUGUUUAACUUCAUGUUUCCUGAGAUCACUGCUGAUUUUGGCUGCGAGCAGAACGCAAGCACCAGCACACAGUUUGCGGUUCUGUUUGUUGAGUUUGCCUUGGAGGACAAGCUUCUCAAAGUACACAUAAGCCAUGGACACAGUAACUGGCUCCAGAUUGCAUUCUUCACUCAGGUUCCGCAUCUCUCUCUUCAAACUAAAAACAGGGAGGAUAAAAGAAAACACACUCUGAGACACAAGAGCUUUCAGAAAAUGCUGUAGGUACACUUCAGUGUGGAAACUCAGAAGAGCACACAUUCAGGACUCUUAUUUGGGAAACCAGGACUGGUAUUAUCCCAGACUGGAGCAGCCCAGUUGGCAGCAAGCUGGAGCUGAUCCUCGAACUGAUUUAAGCUGGCUGACUGCAUCUACUGUGGAAGCAAAGUUCCUUAUCUGUCCAUGAACACUAUGGGUUCAGCUCCUUCACUGAAGCACAGGCUGUUGCUGUAUGGAUCCCUCUGAGAUCCCAAACACGUUCAUGAUUCAUAAGACCCCACUGCCCUGACCUACACACUGUCACAUCAAUGCUGUGCAGUGGGAGGCCUGUCUCCCACAUACCUCAGAGAAGAAUCAGGUCUGAGGGGGAAGGCAAACUGCUUCAUACCCUCCCAUAGCAGAUGGCCCUUCACUUCUGCAUGAAGGAGAACGUUGUGCUGGAUGCUCCCUCUCAUUGCUAUCACCGUGCUACAGAGCUCUCUGCAAAAAAACCCUGCUUAUAACAACUACAGAGGGGAGCAUGCAGGGCACUGCCAGACUCUGAAUAAGCAAACCUUGCCCUCAGCUGGGAGCUGCAAUGCUAGUGAUUCAGCAAUAUCAUGUUCUAAGCUGGCUAUUUCAGAAGGCCCUAAUUGCAUUAACUCUGGUGUAAUACCAGCAAGAUUACAGCUCUCAGAAGGCACAACAGUACAUCUCAUUGGUGAACAGUCAGACAUUUCCUGGACAGGGAGGAAUUCUGUGUGCACAGUCCUGCCUUCAAAAAAUACUUUUCUUCACCAAGUAUUCCCAGAACAGACUUUUUUAUUCUAGAAUCCUGUUGAGUCUACAUUCAUCAGCAAGUCUUGUAACCGAAAGGUGAAAACAGCCAGAGAUGAUCUGGAUAAAAGCAGGACUGCAGGAAAGCCAAACAAUCAAGUUACAAGUAUUUGUUUCAAAGCUGAUGCUACUUCACUGUUAAUUGGCUAUUAGUGCUGAUGAAACAAAACUCAUCUAGGCUGAACGAUGAAAACCAACUGUUACUCUUUCCCGGCAACCUAAGCAUUCCUGUCAUCCCACAGCCAGCUCAACCAGCAACAAGAGAUUAGCAUUUAAUCAUAUAUACUAUAAAUAGGUCUAGUAUUUGCUCCAUACAAGUGGCAGAUAAAAGUACUGUGUAGAUGAUGUUCUCAUUUUUCACUGCUUGUUUCUUACCUCCUAAUUUUGCUCAGCGUCAGCUUGAUAUGAGGAAACUUCUCUCUGAAGGUUUCAUUCAUAUCCUUUUUAAGGUCUGAGGGUUUCACGUAUUCUAUGACUGUUGUCUGAAACACAGGAAGAAAAAUGUAUUGUUAUUUGCCCUGUGAGCAGCACUGACAGCUGGACAAGUCUGUCAAGGACACCUCAGUACAAAGGCAAAACCAAGUUUUAUUUGAUAAUACUGUAAUGCCUAGGUAAUAGCCUAGGUUGAGUCUCAGCCACAGAAAAAAAAUCUUAAUGAACUAGUAAGCAAACAGCUACAAUAAAUAAAUGCCAACUUGGAGACAUGACAAGUUGGCCCUUGACAAGCUCAGCAUACAAACUCAACUACUUGUGCAUCUCCUGAUGAGCUCUUAAGAAGCCACAGCCACUUCCUCAAGGACUGUUUCUCCCCAGGGGAAGUUGUUUAUAGGAGGAUCUCUCAGGCACUCACUCUGCUCAGGUACACAACCACUCACCAUGUAAGAGGCAAAGAUGAGAACCCGUUUAUGUUUUCCACAGGGCCACUGAGGAUCAUCCAGAAGAUUAGGAUCAUACUCUGCCACUUCCCCGGCUUCGCUUCCUGAAAGAAUGAGGAAAGCACAAUGUUGAGCCACAGAACUUCAAGUUUUCUGUUUCCUUUUUAAUAAAAUGUUCAAACAGCAAAUGCUACAAUGUUGGCAGACCCCACAGGGCAGGCAAGCUGCAGCUAGGGUCACGCAUUUUCAUUCUGUAUGUGUCAGGUAUUACAGUUAAUACAAAGCAAACAAGCUGUCUCCAACAUAUGCCCAACACCAUUUUAGACACUGCAAACUAGCAGUUUGUCUUCCACAAGUAUGCACAGAGAACUGCACAAACCUGGUUUGCUGCUCAAAUCUAACAGAUGAUAGCAUUGUCAGGUUUGCUCUUUUACAGAGUUUAACACAAACCUUUGAUUUGUGCAUUGUUACAGUGCUAGAAGGCAAGGAAGGCCAUCUGUACCCAUGCACACCAGAUGUUUCUAGCUGAGCAGUAUUAAGCCUCACAUUUCCAAGGAAAUGCUUUGCAGUCCUUGAAUUGCAUAAGCUACACCGGAUAUUCAGAGGAUGCAAGGAGUAGUGAAUAUAAGUCUGUCUUAAGGCUCAACCUUUAUACUUCACUAACAAACCUUCUCUGCUCAGCUCUAAGCGGUCUCCUUCCAAACACAUCACCACUUGCAAUUGUCUCACACACACAGUCCUUUCCCACCUUUCUGCUCUGUGCAGAAGUGGUGAGCACGCUGGCAGCCAUCCUUACCGAUCUCUGUUCCUGCUGGUAUCAUUUUUGCAGUCACAGGUUUAUAUCUCGACCCAGGAAGACUCCGUGAAGCACCAGCUCGGCAGGAAGGGACAGCACUAUGGCUGUCAGCCUUGCGAACAACCAGGGCAUUGGUUGGGUACAGGAAUUUUGCAUAGGACACAACCUUCAAAAAGAGAAAGUUGUAGUAGUUAUGGGGGAAAAAAAAAACAAUACUGAAAGCUUACUUUCAGAUAUAUAGGAUUCUACAACUCGGAGAUCCCCAGUGAGAGCGAGGACCUUGAAAUUGGGGGAUGGGAGGAAAAGCCUGCAUGCAGGAAUACUUUGCUUUUGUGGUCUUCAGUAUGAAAGAGUUUUUGAGGAUGUAGGAAAAGAAAAGGGGGGAGAAUCACAUCAAUAAAGUUCUGGCAAUAUACAAAGAUAACUGAAGAGGUUGUUAGAGGAUGUUAAAAAAAAUUAUUCACAUAUUGUCUGAGAUGCCAGUGAAGACAAUUCUCCAGGAAUGGAGGCAGAAAUGACCAGAGACUGACAGCCUCCUCAGGAGCAUUAUCACAAGUCAAACAUUCAAAACUUUAAGGAUCUAAGCAGACUUCCACUGCUCUGUUAAGUUAGAGUUCUCAGUUUAUGGAAGCUCUGUAUAAACAAGUGAUUUGCCCCCGUAUCAAACAGUCACAGAGGUGAAAGCAGCCAGCUGACCCACCCGCUGCCCCACGCCAGGCAUCAGCAUUACAGAUCAGGAGACAAAAAGUAUUUCCUUACCUUGCCAUCCGCCCCCAGCUCUACUCCUUCCAUGCCAAGGACCAUCUCAGUGGACACCGAAACGCCCCCAGAAGGAUGUCGCUGCUUCUGUCCAUCCAUCUUCAGGUCACUAAAUGCAGACAAGAAAACGCACUGUUGGAAAACACAGCAUGAGCUCAGCUGCCCUUAAGGUGAAUGCCAGGGCCUGUCCUGCGCCUCCACCAGCACCAAAGGGUCAGAGCUCCACUAUGCAUGAACUGGACUGUCCACCAACCUCAUCUCCAAGUAAGUGCUAAUUUUUCACUACUCUUUUCAAAACGUGGAGACGUUCAUUAAGUCAAGAAUUGCACUUCACCUCAUUCUAAAAGUCAAAUCUGCAGCAACGUGCCCAUCAAAAAUGGGGUUAUUUUUAGGUACGGUCCUUCUGCCUAAGACAAACCAUUGGUAAGACAGAAAUGCUCAAACACUUAGCAGCAAGCACAGUUUAUAUGACUAGUUUUCUAGGAUCAGAAGCUGGCCUUUCAGCUGCCAUUUUCCAGCCACUGAGCACACAAGCUCACACGAGGAAUUUGAGCUGCUACCAGAACUCUGCUUCAGUGAUAGCAGCAUUGUCACCUAUAUUCCAGCACAAAAAAGACAGCUUUCAGUUGAAGAACUGCAUUGCCAGCUUCCACACAAGCAGAAUAACACUGAGCUCACAAGUGCCCUAAAAUAACACCAGCAACCUUGCUGCUUUUCCACUAAAUGGGAAAACGUUUUCCCAUCAACUAUUUUUACAGCAAGUGUAUUUGAAUACAAUACAAUUCCCACCACCAAACAUCCGUUUCCUUCUGCCAUAUGUUACGUACAGGACAGAAGUGACAACACAAUUGUUUUGGCAGAAGUGGAUUAAAAUAAAAUGAUUUUCUAUGGUAUACUUGUAGGUCAGACCUUCACAGAAUCAACUUAAUAGUUCACGAGAGACUGAGCAAAGCUGCGUGGAAAUCUAAAUAGCAGGACUUGUUUCUCAUAUUUGACCAUAUUUACAGUUCCAUGCAAAAAAAUGGAGUACAGCUGUUAAAAGCAGUAUAAAAAUCAGGCUAAACUGCUUCUAUUUGGCCUAGACUGUGAACAGUGACAUUCAUGGCUUUGGAGAGGUGAAAAAAAAUGGAAGAACAUCUCAAACCUCAUUAUAGCAUCACUAUAGAGCCUUGAAGGCUUCCCAGUAAGGAAAGCAGCAGACCUAUAGCAGAUGUACUCAUUUAAGACCCUCCACAAACAACAGCACAGUUAAAGGCAACUCACCUGAUACGUAAACUCUCCCCAUAAGGUAGGAUAGAAAAAGCCACGCACAGCGUUCGUUUAGCGCAGAUUAAUACGAUCCUGUAAGGAGAUGGGGAAAGAUCAGGAUAAGAAUUGUCAUCCAGAAGUUACAAAGCAGCUUCCUAUGAAACACAAACAUGGAACUCCUCUCUGUGCUAGAAAGGAGGAUGGGGUUUGGGCAGAAUGGCUUAACAUCCUCUCUUUCUCCAUCAGUGGCAGAACCAUCAGCAGACUACUGCAGAUGUAGCAGAUACAAAUACCCCCCGCCUUCGACAUAAAACGUGUUUAACAUUAGGAAGACCACAGGAACACUGCAUUAUUCCCACUGAUGUCACCCAGCUAACCACAUGGAACUAGAGCUUGUUUGUGGGCACAUCCCAUUUCACACAAGUAUGAAGGUACGGCUGAUCUCCAGGUGUUACCUGCUGUUCUUCGUGUCAUACUGCCUCAUGUUCUUGAUGAAGUGCAUCUUCUUCAAAUUCUUGUGCCUUGGAGACCCAGAUAUAUGCUUGGUUCUGCAAUUAUAAGACAAAACCCAAACACUUCAGUGCUCUGAAAAACAACAACAAGAGGAAAAACCGUGCCAGGUGUAUGAUCAGAUGGCAGCACUAGCAUGCAGGACCUCAGAUACUGGCGUGGAAGAGGGUGGAGGGAGGAGAGGACUGCAUGCAACGAGUUAAGGUUAAUGCUGCUUUUGAAAGAAGUACCUUUGUACACUGGCAUAUUCCACUAUGUCUUCUAAAAAGUCUAGAGAGCAGCGCUGGGAGAUAAAACGCCUUCUGCAAAAUGUACAACACCAUGAAGAGUGAACAGUAUUAGUUCAUGGCCUCUGAGUUUAUGAACUGCAACAGAUGUAUGAGCUCUUAGGACAAACGGCAGCUUUUCUUUGACUUGUUUUGUAGGGAAGCACUCUUCCAAUGAGUUCCACAUUCCUAAAAAGGCCAAGAACUUGCUUUCCCUGCUAGGCACUUUGAAGUCUUUGGGUACAUAUUUGUACUGGCUUUGGUAACAAGACCACUCAAAACAAGAGAAUACCCACCUCUAAGCUAAACACCCAAAGAGCUUCUAAAUACGCAUUUGAAAUCUUAUCAGAAAUAUUACAAAAAGUUCCCUACACAUACCAAGGCAUCUUAUAUCAGCCUACCAAAACACAUCAACACACACAUCUGUAUGAUGGCAGAACAUCUGUAGCUCCACUCCUGCCCCAGAACACGGUGCUGCUCCAGUAGCAGACCACGAGUCGAGGAUGUGAGCUCAGCAACACGGAUACAGCUCUUAGGAGAACAGCAGGGAGGGCUGUUAGAGGAUGCAAAGAGUAUUCAGGGCCCAUCUGAAAUUCCCACAUGGAAGAUACAAAGAGAGCAGCAGUAGGAACCUUGUGAGUUAGUAUGACAGUUAAUAGAAAGUCAAGUUAAUUGACAGAGUUCUACAAAGAAACUGGCUGCAAUGUCUAUAGGAACAAGGUCCUCAGAUUCAACAAACACCACCAAAAUACUGACACCACAACUGUCAAAUUCUAUGUUUUCCACUUUAAGCAUGCAUUGUGCUGUGCUUUUAGCACAAACCACGUGUAUUCCAGUGCCAAAGUGGCACCAUAACUCAACUGACAGACAAAAAAACAUCGUCAUGGAAGCCAACCUGGGAGAAGCUUAUGGGACAUACGCUGUAGGAUGCUGGGUUAACCUAAAGCUUAAAAGCUAAUAUUGAGCCCUAGGCCAAAAGCAUGGCACCUCGGGUAUGUGCAGGGAGCAAUGGGCAGGGAAGGCAAACAAAGGCAGAUAACAUGGGAUUUCUUAAUUGCCAGAAGCUAUAGAUGAGUUUUUACAGCGAAGUUGGAUAAGCAACUCAAACACACAGCUUUGUUGCUACACAGCAGGUCCACUGGCAUUCUGGAUGUGACCAUGAUCUGGUUCCUCCCUAUGAAUGGACAUCAGCAUCCAAACACCUUUCAUCCAGGCUUCAGUUUUAAAAUAUUUUGGCUUGCCAGUGAAAGCUUUCCUGUAAAGUUCAAUGCUUUCACAUACAUGUGCUUUAGUCUACUUUGGCAUUUAGUCUGCAAUUUAAAACAAAACGCCAAAAACAACAGGCCUGCACGUUUCAUGAUGUUUUCUAUCUCAAAUGUUAUGGCACAAAAACAGCUCUCAGCGUCUCCACUGCUGUCAUGGAACCACAGAUCCUGAGCUGGAAGGACCCCAAGGACCAUCGAGUCCAACUCCUGGCUUCACACAGCACCACCCAAGAUUCCAACCAGGAAAAGCAAACCCGAAGCCAGUGACAACAGGGAUGAGAGCACAAAGCACCUGACCCCAUGGCGCUGUGAGAGCACAUCUCACUGAGUGCUGCUGCAGUGAAAGGAUCCUGCCCCUUUGCUCAGAGCCACAAUGACUCAUCCCUGCUGUGCCAACAGGAAACUUCAUUUUUAGCUGCACUUCAGCUGAGAUUUUCUGUCCUCAUGUGAAGCUGUCACCUCAGAGAAAUUCAAUGUGCCAGGCAAGGCAGGAUGCUCUCCUCCAUUCUCAGAGGUCCCACUGGUUCAGAGCACACUGUGUGCUCAAACAAACAUUUUGCAACACCAGAGCCUUGCUGCAGUAACGCUAUCAGCAACAACUUCUUUAUUACACAGUGCAGUAUGCUGCAAACUAAGGCUUUUAUUUUGAGUUGUCUGCACUUAGCUUGCAACCUGUCUUAGUUUCAGUGCUCUUCUCACACAGUCAGUUCACACAUAGAGGAAGCACAAGGUCAUGCAGCAGCCCCGCUCCUGCCCAAUGAAGAACAGCAGAGCCACGCACUCUGUGCUCAGCAGACUCACCCAGGAUAACACCCCUUGUUUGCGUCUGAUCUGCUGAGUUCAAAAGACUUCAAGUCAUUUACUGCUGCCAAGUGUGACUUCAAUACGACAGCAGAAAGCCAAAAGCAGAACUCUGUUACCUUACGUACCUGACUGAUGCUCGACCUGGCAAUUAGAAAUCAAAUCAGCCAAUAUUAGAACUUCAAUAAGUUCUGUGUAGGAGGCUGUAACAUCAGCAGGACCCUAAGGGAAGUUCAAACCACCUGAGAGCCAACACAGCUCGCUCCUGGACAAGCCAGAGGGUUGGUUUGUGUCUGUCUGUCCAUCCAGCCCCACUCAAGGCCUCCCUUUGGUGCUUUCUCACUGUUCUAAGAGCCAAUAAAGAAGGACCCACCCAGGACUGCACCACACAGAGCAUGUGCCCAGAGAUGAGGGGCGAGAUGAGGAGUCCUGGGUUAAGCCUGGCCUUGUUAUCUGUGUGCACACAGAAUCCAACAGCACUGCUCUGAAAUGACCUAGCACCAACCAGACACCUUCAGAACAGAUAAAACCCAGCCACGCGUGCUCAGUUCCAUUUCCACUCCCACCCUGGGAGGCAGCAGCCAGCCCUAAUUUCCCUCCUGAUGGAUUUCCCACUGAAAAACCCCACUUCUCAGUGCUUCCAGCCCCACACUUGUAUCAGCAAGCAAGUAACAAAGUGAAGCAGCACUCGGAUCCCGGGCCAGAGGUUAACCCAGCUCUUAAGUGUUCCCAGCAGGACAGGACACAGCUAAGAGCACUCUAUGUAUAGCACUGGUAAUCCCUCAGUGUCCUGUCCUGCAAACUGAAAGGAAGAAGCUGCGUGAGCCACAGUCUCCAACUGGAGAGCAGUGGCCUUUCAGGGGGCUCAGGGCAGGGUCCCCCAGCCCACCCGCAGGCCAGGCCACAUGUGGACACCCAGGAGACCACAAGAGAGAGAAGCAAAACGUAGGAAGCAAACCAGAUGAUCAAAGGAAAUAAAAAGGAAGGCAAAAGAAUAGGAAGAAGGAUGACCUGCACCCAGCCUACGUUUUUUCCUCAAUAAUAUCUGGGGCUCCUUCCACCCCAUAACAUCAUGAGUUGCAUCCCUCGCCCUUCUCUAGGUGGGAGGAUGCUAUGGUGGAGGAUGCACACACACCCCCAUGGGCACUUGGCUAAAAUCAGCAGGUGGGCUCAGAUCCUCUGCUGCUCCUUCACAACGCACACUGCUAAUAGAUGAACGGAACAGAGGAGGUCAAGAAUCUUUAAUUACAGCGUAAAAUUAAGGCUAAUAGAAUUCGGUUUCUUAUUUCUCACUCCAAAGUUAGUUGUAUGGCUGCCCCCUUGCAAGGUGUUCCACAUACCUCAGUGUAAUCACAGCUGCCAAGAGACUGAGUUAUUGAUGUAAUGAUGGCAAAAGUCGGUUACUGGUUUGUGCAGGCACAGCCUUACUGACAACUGCCAAAGGUGAUCUGCUCCAGGAGCCCAUAGAUCCCAAAUCUUGCUUGCAACAGGGAGACAUGCCUGUCAGAUCUGCUUUGUCAGGACACACCAUGCAGAAUCACAGUGAGGUUUUCCCUUCCCUGUGGGUGAGCCAACAACCCGCAGUGAGCUGUGCUGCUGUGACCGUGUAACAGCACUGCUGACAGAGGAUUACAGGAACCUGAUCCCAUCUUUAAGCUUAAUUUUUCCUCUACUGCUACUAUGUAGGCAGCCUGGAAGACACUUGCUGCUUCCAAGCUUGCAUUGUAGUGUGUGAAAAUCCCUAUUCCCACACCCCAUGCCCCACUGCUGUCAGUGUCUCAAGCAUUUGCUUUUCCUCCAAAGCAGAUUGAGCACAGCUUGCUGGCAGCAACAACUCUGCAGUAAUUACAGACACAGAAGUUAGACCACAUUGAUAAUAAAUCACAUUCAAACCACUGCCAUUGCCACAUCUUUGGUGCAAUACAUGACUUCGAGUACACAAAGUACGAUCCAAAGCGUGGAGCAGGGCUGUGUGUCAUACCUCAGGGUUAGAAAGGAGGCUCCAAAUCUUUGACCCUUGUGUUCUUAUUCAAGGUUUGUUUGCAAAACUGAAGGGCUGCAGGGCCUUCCUGCUGGUCCCAAACCCAUGAGCAAACCCUGCACUCCUCGCAGAGCAGCAAAGCUGUGUGCAAGGAAUGCAGCAUGCAGCGCAUGGGGCAAAUGAGAAGGAGACAAGAAACUGCAGCAGGACUGGAGGUGGAGGCAGAGCACACAGGGAGCUUACUCAGCCUGUAAGAUUUUAAGUACUAACAAGGAAAUAAGUGACUGUAGAUCUUUGUCACAGUGGCUGCUGCCUCAUUGCUGGUUCACAACCACAUAAGAUUAAGACCUAAUGCUAAUCAGAAACAGAGCCCAUAUAUCACAUUGCUCUGGUGCUAAGGGUGUUUCGACAAUCUAGGGAGAAAAUGAUGCCUUCCAGCAAGCCUUAGGAAAGCAGCCUGUCGCAACAAAGCCCCAGGGCAGGCAGAUGUAAGGCUGCAGUGCCCAGAGCCCAUUUCUCCUAAAGCACGCAUACACCUCUGGAGAGCCUGCUGGAACUGCUGCUCCCAAAGCCAGCAGGAGGUGCUGGCCAGGACACUGCUCCCCAGGGCUCUGCCGUGUCCUGUGGGUGUCUCUAGCUGGCACCGGUAUGGUCCCCCUGUGCUUCAUGCUCUGUUUGCUAAGAUGACCAAAAUGCCGACCAAAACAAGCAUGCAAAAUGCAAGAGAUGUCACCGAGGACAUUAUGCAUUAUGGAAAUAUUCAAGUACUUCCCUGAGAGAUGAUACAUCUCAUCAUGUGCCUUGCUAAAAUAAGAGCCUUUGGCACAAUAAAACUCCCAAGUUCCAAGGAAAAAACCCAACAAACAACCCAAGGGCAGUGCUCCCAGAAGGCAGCUGCUCCCAGCCAAGGUGUUCCAGCUCCUGCAGAAGCUUCUUGUGUUACAGCCUCAGUGCUUCCCACAAACCUGGGCACUGCUUUGUGAAACGCCUUCCCUUCCCUUGCACUUCCAAGACAAGGAGAGCUCUUCACAUAACAUCAUCUUCACAGGUUGAAACAGUAAAUGGUACACAAGGUAUCUAUAAACCAAAGGUUAAGAGUUUAAUAGCUCUGUAUCCUAAGAGCUCAGUUACAGCCCUGCUAGUACCACCCACCUGCCUUAUCAACAAUACCUCAUUAAAAACCUCAGAUUUCAUGGUUUGCACACACAUCACAAUACAGAAUUUUGUGAAAGUCACAUUCCCUCUGUCUUUUUUUUUCCUGAAACAAAAGGCCUAGAAGCCAUACCCAAACCCAAAGCAAAAGUGCUGUCCUGUGGUUAAACUGCAGUGGACUUCUGUGCUCAGCGAAGCUAUGCGAGAAGCACUGAGAACCUCAGACCUCAGUAUUCACCCUCAUGUGCACGCAGCAUCCAGCGUACGGCUGUGUUCAGAGUGGGCUUUGCAAAACACCCAAGUGCUAUGGCUCAGACGGGAGGCACCAGCUGGGGGGGACUGAAGGAAGAGAAUGGAGGGAAGUGCUCCAGUCUGCAAACCAAACAAAACUAUGCUUUAAGGCAGCACGCUGAGAUCCUGCAGGCUUCAAGAGUUACAGCUGCCAGGCACACCCCUUGCUGCUGACUGAUGGAUGUACCUGGCUGGAAACAACAGGCAAUCAAUAAGAGAGGCAGCUUUGAGUUGUCAGGUAUUUGCUAUUGGCCACACACAUCCACCUGUGGGCGCAGCGUGGGAGAAGUCUGCUGAAGCAAUGCUGCUGGGGAGCAGAGUGCAGCCGUAACAUCUCAGCUGAGCUUUAAAUAAAGCCCAGGAACAGAAGGCGUUCGCGUUCAGCCCUGAGCAGCACAGCAGCCCACAGCCACGGCUCAGAAGUCACAGCUCACAGCCUCCAACGGGUACUGCUGCUUCCUUAACAGCACCACGCCUGCCCAGGCUUCUGCACAGAAGGCUUAGAAAUGACAGCUAAAGCCUUUAAGCAUUAUGUUUCACUCGUCUCCAAAAAAACGUGUAUCAGCACAGGAUUUGUGCUUUUCUUUUCUUAAAUAAAUGUUUCUCCAAAUGAAAGCAGCCACAGAGCUGACAGCGGGAUAAAACACUGCAUUAAGCCACGACCAGCAGGAAGGCCUGAUCGAGCACUUCUUCUAUUGCACACAGGGAACUGAUUUGAUCACACCUAUGUCAGCAACACAGCAUCCAAUCAACGCUUCCAAGCAGAGUUGGUCCAAAGCACUGCUGCUACCACUGCUGCUCAGACUCCUACGUUGAAAUGAUUUGGAUUAACUCAGUCAUUUCUGAUGCCCCGUGUUCCACUUGUUCUUUGACAGAACAAAAGAACAGGGUAAGGUGGAAAGGGAGAAGAGAGGAGAACAAGGCGGGUAAGGAAGCAGUACACACAUAGCACUGUAAUUUAAGAUGCCAUUAACAGAAGACACCUGAAGGGAAACAAAAGUGGGAGGUUAAGUCAUUGAGUUUCUGAAGGAGCACUAUAAAGCAAAGCAUUCAGAUGAAACCAUGCCUCCAAGGAGUGCUGCCAGCACACACCCAGCUCCUGCUGGAAGUUUCCAUCCUAAAGGAGCUGAAAGCCACAGAGCAGCUCAGGAACUCCCCACCACGUCCCAUAGGCAGGUUACUGUACAUAGCACAGAUCAGAGAUACAAGCGGACAAAUGCUGAACGCAACGCCCUGUGCUCUUGCAGCCAUCUCUUCCCCAAGCUGAAAUACUGCUGGAUUGAUUGGAGUCACUGGUGGAGCAUGACAGCUCGGGAUGAGAUACCAAGAGGGGCAGGAAGGACACGGAACAAGAGCAGACCCAAGCAAUAUGUACUAAAGAGUAUUUUCUUAACAUCUGAUCGACUUGGCGUGGAAAAGAGAAGGUAUGGAUAACAUCACCGAAACCUCUCUACUUCUAAAGCUCCUGAUGCUAAACUCAAAAUCAUCACCCACAGCAUUAAACCGAAGAGCAUACAAGAGAAGAACAGCUCAGCGCCCGGGAGAAGCCCAGGAGGAGGACCCCACACCGCUACUCACAGCGCUGCUGCUCUCUGGCUUUGCUCAUCGUCCCGCGAUCCCGGCGGCACGCAGCUGCCCGGCUGUGCACCCAAAGGCGGCACCGCUAAUUGCACCGCAGCUCCCAGCUCAGCAACACGGAUAUCAGCCCGUCAGAGCCCCGAGAGCCGCUCUACGGAGCGCGGAUUGUUGGUGCCUUCGGUUUUGUCCUCCUUAUCGGCAGGCUCUGGGGUCAGCUCGCUUUACAAAGCUCUUUAUGCAAGAAGCGGCCUGAAAGGAGCUCUUUUAGAGCUCAAAUCCCCGAGAUCCGAACCGGACGCUGCCUUCCACCGAGCAGAACGCCGGCACAGAGGGGCUGAGAGGAGUCCUCCGGACACACAGCGGGAACUCCGCGCCCCGGGGCUGAGGGAGGCGCUCCCGUAGGGAUGGGGACAGCAUCCCCCCACCGGAGCGGCCCCGGGGCUGCCCCUCCCGCCCCCUCCAGGUGCUCCCCCGGCAGCGCCCGGCCCCGCGUCCCACGCCCCCCUCCUCCCCCGGGGCCGCCGCUUUCCCACGCUCGCUCUCCACCCCCCGGGGGCACCGGGCCGGGUGAGGGCCCUGGGAAAGCUCCGCUCUGCCCUCGGCUUCCCACGCCCCAACGGGGCCGGGCUCCGAGGGGCGGGGAGGAGCCGAGCCGGGAACCCCUCUCCUCACUCACCUCUGCC